UACGGAGGGUGCAAGCGUUGUCCGGAAUCACUGGGCGUAAAGGGCGCGUAGGCGGCUCGGUAAGUAGGGGGUGAAAUCCUGCGGCUUAACCGCAGGGCUGCCUUCUAAACUGUCGAGCUUGAGCACGGUAGAGGCAGAUGGAAUUCCCGGUGUAGCGGUGGAAUGCGUAGAGAUCGGGAAGAACACCGGUGGCGAAGGCGGCAUCCUGGACCGAGAUUGACGCUGAGGCGCGAAAGCCAGGGGAGCAAACGGG
rnacentral:rRNA from 1 species